rnacentral:rRNA from 1 species
GAUGAGCGCUGGCGGCGUGCCUAAUACAUGCAAGUCGAGCGAACGGACGAGAAACUUGCUUCUCUGAUGUUAGCGGCGGACGGGUGAGUAACACGUGGAUAACCUACCUAUAAGACUGGGAUAACUUCGGGAAACCGGAGCUAAUACCGGAUAAUAUUUUGAACCGCAUGGUUCAAAGGUGAAAGACGGUCUUGCUGUCACUUAUAGAUGGAUCCGCGCUGCAUUAGCUAGUUGGUAAGGUAACGGCUUACCAAGGCAACGAUGCAUAGCCGACCUGAGAGGGUGAUCGGCCACACUGGAACUGAGCCACGGUCCAGACUCCUACGGGAGGCAGCAGUAGGGAAUCUUCCGCAAUGGGCGAAAGCCUGACGGAGCAACGCCGCGUGAGUGAUGAAGGUCUUCGGAUCGUAAAACUCUGUUAUUAGGGAAGAACAUAUGUGUAAGUAACUGUGCACAUCUUGACGGUACCUAAUCAGAAAGCCACGGCUAACUACGUG